rnacentral:rRNA from 1 species
GACGAACGCUGGCGGCGCGCUUAACACAUGCAAGUCGAGCGAAGCGGCGGACGGGUGAGUAACACGUGAGUAACCUGCCUUAGACCUUGGGAUAGCCUCGGGAAACCGGGAUUAAUACCACAUGGGCUAAGAUGGACUCGCGUCCCAUUAGCUAGUUGGUGGGUAACGUCCCACCAAGGCGCCGAUGGGUAGCCGGCCUUAGAGGGGUAACGGCCACAUUGGAACUGAGAAACGGUCCAAACUCUACGGGAGGCAGCAGUGGGGAAUAUUGCACAAUGGAGGGAACGCUGAUGCAGCGACGCCGCGUGAACGAAGAAGGCUUUCGAGACGUAAAGUUCUUUUAUAUGGGAAGCGGUACCAUAAGAAAAAGCCCCGGCUAACUACGUGCCAGCAGCCGCGGUAAUUC